GUGGAGCAUGUGGCUUAAUUUGACCCAACGCGGGAAAUCUUACCGGGUCCGGACACACUGAGGAUUGACAGGUUUCAUCAUGUUGUUCAUUCAACAUGUGUUAAAUAUGCUAGUCCUUUCAUGAUUAUGUGAUAGGUGGUGCAUGGCCGUUCUUAGUUCGUGGAGUGAUCUGUCUGCUUAAUUGCGUUUCGAUUUGAACCGACAUCAAAACGUAUGUUUGAAAGAUGGUUUGAUCCCUCCUCUGGAGUUGUGCGUCUUUCCAUCAUCAUUUCAUCAUACAAAGCCGGUUCUGAAAGCAACGAACGUGACCG
rnacentral:rRNA from 1 species